GCAAAUAUUACAGGGCAAUAUCUCCAUUGGCAGGCGGCCACUUACACAGGCAUUCCUUGUCCAACUUCAAACUCAAAUGCAUUAAUACAGUGUGCUCUCUGCCAAAGGAGAUUUGCCCGGCAAUUCUUUU
rfam:Gossypium arboreum cultivar AKA8401 contig_25246_1, whole genome shotgun sequence.